GACGAACGCUGGCGGCGUGCUUAACACAUGCAAGUCGAACGGAAAGGCCUCUUUCGGGGGGUACUCGAGUGGCGAACGGGUGAGUAACACGUGAGUAACCUGCCCUUGACUUUGGGAUAACUUCAGGAAACUGGGGCUAAUACCGGAUAGGAGCUCCUGCUGCAUGGUGGGGGUUGGAAAGUUUCGGCGGUUGGGGAUGGACUCGCGGCUUAUCAGCUUGUUGGUGGGGUAGUGGCUUACCAAGGCUUUGACGGGUAGCCGGCCUGAGAGGGUGACCGGCGACAUUGGGACUGAGAUACGGCCCAGACUCCUACGGGUGGCAGCAGUGGGGAAUAUUGCACAAUGGGUGGAAGCCUGAUGCAGCAACGCCGUGUGCGGGAUGACGGACUUCGGGUUGUAAACCGCUUUCGCUCAUGACGAAGCUUUGUGUGACGGUAGUGGGUAAAGAAGCACCGGCUAACUACGUG
rnacentral:rRNA from 1 species